AAGUGAAACAGUAUAUGGGGAUAAUUCCCGGACAUUCAACGGCAGGCAGGCAGGAAAAAUAAAAGGGGGAUUAAAUCCCCCAUUUUUUGGUAACU
rfam:Mangrovibacter sp. MFB070 Contig-025, whole genome shotgun sequence.